GGCUCGGGAGUCGACCGGUGGGACGGUUGGCAGGAAUGGAGCCUCACCCCGUUUCGCAAACGGUGCGCGGCCGGAGCCCGACGGCGCGCGCA
rnacentral:ncRNA from 1 species